GAAGCCGCAGAGUUCCCGCUUCAUUGCGUUCGUGUUUUAGUUUAUUUUUCUUCCUCAUCUAAAGUGAAGCACUAAGCUGAUAAGCAGGAGGAGAAGAGUCUGACGGAGCAGCAGAGGAACAUUUAAGCUACUUGGACUCAGCUCAGCCACUGCAGAGAAAUCAAUGAGUUCGACACAGAAGGACCAACAUGGACCGAGAAGUCAGCGCUCUCAGGAGGCCGACAAACCUCACAG